GGGCCCGCACAAGCAGCGGAGCAUGUGGUUUAAUUCGAAGCAACGCGAAGAACCUUACCAGGUCUUGACAUCCAUCUAAAGCUGUAGAGAUACAGUGUGAGCGUGCUCGAGAUGAGACAGGUGGUGCAUGGUUGUCGUCAGCUCGUGUCGUGAGAUGUUGGGUUAAGUCCCGCAACGAGCGCAACCCUUGCCGGUAGUUACUAACGGAUGGAGCCGAGGACUUUACCGGGACCGCCGGGGACAACUCGGAGGAAGGUGGGGACGACGUCAAAUCAUCAUGCCCCUUAUGACCUGGGCUACACACGUGCUACAAUGGCCGAGACAGAGAGCUGCGAAGGCGCAAGCCGGAGCGAAUCUCAAAAAAGCGGUCACAGUUCGGAUUGUGGGCUGCAACCCGCCCACAUGAAGCAGGAGUUGCUAGUAAUCGCGAAUCAGCAUGUCGCGGUGAAUACGUUCCCGGGCCUU
rnacentral:rRNA from 1 species